UACGAAGGGUGCAAACGUUGCUCGGAAUUAUUGGGCGUAAAGCGCACGUAGGCGGCAUCGCAAGUCCCAUGUGAAAGCCCACGGCUCAACCGUGGAAGUGCACUCGAAACUGCUCGGCUAGAGUCUUGGAGAGGAAGGCGGAAUGCUUGGUGUAGAGGUGAAAUUCGUAGAUAUCAAGCGGAACACCGGUGGCGAAGGCGGCCUCUGGACAAUGACUGACGCUAAAACACGAAAGCGUGGGGAGCAAACAGG
rnacentral:rRNA from 1 species